ACCAGUGUGGCAUAGUGGUUUGAGCGUCAGACUACAACUCUGGAGACCAGGGUUCAAAUCCCAGCUCAGCCA